rnacentral:lncRNA from 1 species
UAGCUGUUUGUACCGCGGGACACAGGAGAGAGGUGCUCAAUACAGCAGGAAAGAUGCCUGAGUCAACUGCUCUCGUAGGCGUGAAGGCCCACUUUUAGCAAACCAACAGUUGUGACUCAAAAUACAUGAAAACAACUCCCACGUGGCAAUUUCCAUCCAUGGGGAGCACCAAGCAGGGACACCAGGGGGACUCCAUGCACAGUGAAGAUAGCAACAGCUUGGUGUUAUCAGUUCCUCCCGGAUGAGAGCAUCAGUGUCCUGCAGGCCUGCUGUCCAUAGGGGAGCCUCUAAGCCCCUAUAUGGCUUUUUGCUUUAAAUCAAUCAAAAUUAAACACUAUUAAAACUC